GGUAGAGCACUUGACUGUUAAUCAAGCUGUCGUCAGUUCGAGUCUGACAACCGGAG
rfam:Lactobacillus floricola DSM 23037 = JCM 16512 strain DSM 23037 NODE_63, whole genome shotgun sequence.